CCCCCCCCCCCCCCCCCCCCCCCCCCCCCCCCCCCCCCCCCCCCCCCCCCCCCCCCCCAGCACAGCGCUCGUGCUCGCAGUACUCGGCCCGCACCCGCAGCCGGAUGUCUGGGAAACCAGUAAGAACCAGUUAAAACCAGUAUGGAUCAGUAUAGACCAGUAUAGACCAGUAUGGGCCAGUAUAACCCAGUAUAACCCAGUACAAGCACAGCGCUGGUGCUCGCAGUGCUCAGCUCAGACACGGACACGGGCGUUUAAAAGGGAGGAGAAACCAGUUAGAAACCAGUAUGGACCAGUACGGACCACUGCAAUACAAUAUAACCCAGUAUGGAUCGGCAUAACUGAGUAUGGACCAGUAUAACCCAGUACGGACCAGUAUAAACCAGUAUAACUCAGUAUGGACCAGUAUAAACCAGUAUAGGCCAGUAUAGGCCAGUACAACCCAGUAUUAACUAGUAUAACCCAGUACAGACCAAUAUAACCCAGUAUGUACCAGUAUGUACCAGUAUGUACCAGUACAACUCAGCAUAACCCAGUAUAACCCAGUACAAUCCAGUAUGUACCAGUAUAACCCAGUACAGACCAGUACAACCCAGUAUGUACCAGUAUGUACCAGUAUAGCCCAGUAUAACCCAGUACAGACCAGUAUAACCCAGCAUGGGCCAGUAUAACCCAGUAUGCACCAGUAUAACCCAGUACAACCCAGUACAAGCCCAGCGCUUGGCUCGGACUCGGAUGUUUGGCAGGGAGGAGAAACCAGUAAGAACCAGUUAGGAACCGGUGCCCCCAGUAGAAACCAGUACAAACCAGUGACUCACUGCCCCCACAAGCCCUGCAAUGAGCUCUGCUGCUCCAGUUCGCCCAGUUCACCCAGUCCCAAACUGGUUUGUCCAUCCCAGUGUCCUCAGUCUGUCCCAGUUUAUCCCAGUCUGUCCCAGCGUCCUCAGCCUGUCCCAUUCCAUCCCAGUAUGUCCCAGUCCAUCCCAGUUUAUCCCAGUCUGUCCCAGUUUAUCCCAGUCUGUCCCAGUCCAUCCCAGUCUGUCCCAGUCCAUCCCAGUUUGUCCCAGUCCAUCUCAGUCCAUCCCAGUCUGUCCCAGUCCAUCCCAGUCUGUCCUAGUUCAUCCCAGUUUGUCCCAGUCCAUCUCAGUCCAUCCCAGUCUGUCCCAGUCCAUCCCAGUCUGUCCCAGUCCAUCCCAGUUUGUCCCAGUCCAUCUCAGUCCAUCCCAGUCUGUCCCAGUCCAUCCCAGUCUGUCCCAGUCCAUCCCAGUUUGUCCCAGUCCAUCUCAGUCCAUCCCAGUCUGUCCCAGUCCAUCCCAGUUUGUCCCAGUCCAUCUCAGUCCAUCCCAGUCUGUCCCAGUCCAUCCCAGUUUGUCCCAGUCCAUCUCAGUCCAUCCCAGUCUGUCCCAGUCCAUCCCAGUUUGUCCCAGUCCAUCUCAGUCCAUCCCAGUCUGUCCCAGUCCAUCCCAGUUUGUCCCAGUCCAUCUCAGUCCAUCCCAGUCUGUCCCAGUCCAUCCCAGUUUGUCCCAGUCCAUCUCAGUCCAUCCCAGUCUGUCCCAGUCCAUCCCAGUUUGUCCCAGUCCAUCUCAGUCCAUCCCAGUCUGUCCCAGUCCAUCCCAGUUUGUCCCAGUCCAUCUCAGUCCAUCCCAGUCUGUCCCAGUCCAUCCCAGUUUGUCCCAGUCCAUCUCAGUCCAUCCCAGUCUGUCCCAGUCCAUCCCAGUCUGUCCUAGUUCAUCCCAGUUUGUCCCUCCCAGUCCCUCCCAGUUUGUCCCAGUCCCCUCCCAGUCGAUCUCACUCCAUCCCAGUCCCUCCCAAUCCCCUCCCAGUCUAUCCCAGUCCGUCCCAGUCUAUCCCAGUCCCUCCCAGUUUGCCCAGUUUGUCCCAGUUUGCCCAGCACUCACCGCAGGUCACUUUGGCCGGGGGCUCCCCCCCCCCCCCCCCCCCCCCCCCCCCCCCCCCCCCCCCCCCCCCCCCCCCCCCCCCCCCCCCCCCCCCCCCCCCCCCCCCCCCCCC
rnacentral:lncRNA from 12 species